rnacentral:rRNA from 1 species
UACGGGGGGGGGCAAGCGUUGUUCGGAUUUACUGGGCGUAAAGAGCGCGCAGGCGGUCGUCCAAGUCGCGUGUGAAAGCCCCCGGCUCAACUGGGGAGGGUCACGCGAUACUGGUCGACUCGAAGGCAGGAGAGGGUAGUGGAAUUCCCGGUGUAGUGGUGAAAUGCGUAGAUAUCGAGAGGAACACCUGCGGCGAAGGCGGGUUGCUGGGCUGAUACUGACGCUGAGGCGCGAAAGCUAGGGGAGCGAACGGG